rnacentral:misc_RNA from 1 species
UUAAUUUAUUUGUUUGAUGUUCAGACAGCACAAAAAAUACGAAUUGUAAAAUUCUUUGGCAGGCACUUGCCGAAAUGAAUCGGCAUGACAGAGCCAUGGCCCGCCAAAGCAACAAAGAUUUGUAAACAAAGGGUGAAGAGUGAGGGCCGAAGCCCCGGAAGCGAACUCCCUACUCUUUAAUGAUCCUUCCGCAGGUUCACCUACGGAAA